rnacentral:rRNA from 1 species
GACGAACCGAGCGAACGUUAUUCGGAAUCACUGGGCUUAAAGGGCGCGUAGGCGGGCGUUCAAGUCAGGGGUGAAAGCCCCCAGCUCAACUGGGGAAGUGCCUCUGAUACUGGUCAUCUCGAGGGAGGUAGGGGCGUGCGGAACUUCCGGUGGAGCGGUGAAAUGCGUAGAUAUCGGAAGGAACACCGGUGGCGAAAGCGGCGCGCUGGACCUCUUCUGACGCUGAGGCGCGAAAGCCAGGGGAGCGAACGGG